rnacentral:rRNA from 1 species
GGUCAGGAUGAACGCUAGCUACAGGCUUAACACAUGCAAGUCGAGGGGCAUCAUGGAGUUUGCUUGCAAACUCUGAUGGCGACCGGCGCACGGGUGAGUAACGCGUAUCCAACCUUCCCUAUAGUAGAGGAUAGCCCGGCGAAAGUCGGAUUAAUACUCUAUGUUUUCCGUUGCAGACAUCUAAGAUGGAACAAAGGCUUGCCGCUAUAGGAUGGGGAUGCGUCUGAUUAGGUAGUCGGCGGGGUAACGGCCCACCGAGCCAUCGAUCAGUAGGGUUCUGAGAGGAAGGUCCCCCACAUUGGAACUGAGACACGGUCCAAACUCCUACGGGAGGCAGCAGUGAGGAAUAUUGGUCAAUGGGCGAGAGCCUGAACCAGCCAAGUAGCGUGCAGGAUGACGGCCCUAUGGGUUGUAAACUGCUUUUAUGCGGGGAUAAAGUUCACUACGUGUAGUGUUUUGUAGGUACCGCAUGAAUAAGGACCGGCUAAUUCCGUGCCAGCCGCCGC